rnacentral:rRNA from 1 species
GACGAACGCUGGCGGCGUGCUUAACACAUGCAAGUCGAACGAUGAAGCCGGAGCUUGCUCUGGUGAAUUAGUGGCGAACGGGUGAGUAACCCGUGAGUAACCUGCCCUUGACUCCGGGAUAACUGCGGGAAACUGUAGCUAAUACCGGAUACGACCCUCGGAGGCAUCUCCUGGGGGUGGAAAGAAUUUCGGUCAAGGAUGGACUCGCGGCCUAUCAGCGAGUUGGUGAGGUAAAGGCUCACCAAGGCGACGACGGGUAGCCGGCCUGAGAGGGUGACCGGCCACACUGGGACUGAGACACGGCCCAGACUCCUACGGGAGGCAGCAGUGGGGAAUAUUGCACAAUGGGCGCAAGCCUGAUGCAGCAACGCCGCGUGAGGGAUGACGGCCUUCGGGUUGUAAACCUCUUUUAGCAGGGAAGAAGCGAAAGUGACGGUACCUGCAGAAAAAGCACCGGCUAACUACGUGCCAGCAGCCGCCGUAA